UGGGGAAUAUUGGACAAUGGGCGAAAGCCUGAUCCAGCCAUGCCGCGUGUGUGAAGAAGGUCUUCGGAUUGUAAAGCACUUUAAGUUGGGAGGAAGGGCAGUAAGCGAAUACCUUGCUGUUUUGACGUUACCGACAGAAUAAGCAUCGGCUAACUCUGUGCCAGCAGCCGCGGUAAUACAGAGGGUGCAAGCGUUAAUCGGAAUUACUGGGCGUAAAGCGCGCGUAGGUGGUUCGUUAAGUUGAAUGUGAAAGCCCCGGGCUCAACCUGGGAACUGCAUCCGUAGCUGGCGAGGUAGAGUAAGGCAGAGGUUGGUUGAAUUUCCUGUGUAGCGGUGAAAUGCGUAGAUAUAAUAAGGAACACCAGUGGCGAAGGCGACCACCUUGGCUCAUACUGACACUGAAGUGCGAAAGCGUGGGGAGCAAACAGG
rnacentral:rRNA from 1 species